CCCAACCAAAUCGACUUGAACCAACUCCGGCAACGGUGAAACUAGACUCCAACCCAUUUUCUUUUUACCUUCAUCACGCAUUUCACGCAUUCGUAGGACGAGAAAACCCUCAAAAUCUUCUAGAAUGAGUCCAGGUGUCUCCCUCAAUGGCUCAAUUCCACAAAUCUCAGGUAUAGGGGUAUGAUUUCGUACCUAUUGUUACAAUUUCAUUGGCCCUUGGUAAAAAUUCAUUUUUCCUAAAUCUUAUUGGUCCACCAAUUUCAAAAUUUUGGAGAAAAAUAACAAAAUUGGUACAAUUUGUUAAGGGGAAAUCUUAUCUUGAGUUGAAAUGGGGAAUUUCUUUUUAAAAUUCCCUAAAUUGCCCCUGUGUGGCCUCUUAUCCCACAUCAGUGGAGCAUUUGGGAGGGGGAUCUUCUUGCUUUAUAAAUAGCUCUCUUUAGAGUAGGAAAAGGGUUGGAAAUUUUAGUGUGAAAAAAAAAAUCUGAGAAAAGUUAGGUUCGGAAAGAGAGGAAAAAUGGGUUUCAUGAAAUAGUAACUUUUGUUUAACAAAGAUUUUAGGAAGAAGCGAUUAGCUAGCAGGAAAUUUACGGAACGACAUCGAGUUUUCCGGUGGUGUUGGAGUUCGAUGUUAGUUUAUAGUCCUGUUUUGCCGCUUCCGAAUAGGUAAUAUUUCAUUUUAUUUGAUUUUUUGAUUAUUUCUUCUUUGUCUAGACCUUCUGUAGUUUUGAGUAAAUUUUUAAUAAUAUUGCAUGCUGGGUUGUCAGUUGUAGAGGCCUUAAAGGUUAUAGGUUUCUCUGAGUGAAGAAAGUGUUGGAUUUUUAUUACAUUGUAUUAAUGCUGGUUUCAAGUUGAUUAAUGGGAGAUUUUUGUUAUCUCUACCUCGACGUCGAUUUUGUCAUUUACGAUUGAUUUUGCUGGCUACCGCUUAUGUUUUGAAUGCUAGUUUCAUAUCUAAAGUUUCAUACUUUGAUUUUGUUUGGUAAUUUAGGGCUGCUGGUAUCUUGUUAAGGCUGAUUUUGUAGUUAAAGUUUCAUGCUUCGAUCUUGAUUAAUCAUUUUGGGCUAAUGGUACGUUGUUUUGUCUUAUUUCAUAGUUUAAAGUUGCAUGCUUUAAUGGUUGUCGGGCUGAUGGUGUCCUAUUAUAGUUGAUUUUAAGUUAAAAUUUUGGGUCUUAUUAGUUUUGGGCAAAUAGUAUCUUGUUAUGCCUGAUUUCGUAGCUAAAAGUUUCACGUUUUAAUAGUUUCGGGCUGAUGGUGUCCUGUUAUAGCUGAUCUUAGGUAAAAGUUUCAUGUUUUAAUAGUUUCAGGCUUAUUGUAUGUUGUUAUGUUUGAUUUCAAGGUUUAAAGUUGCAUGCUUUAAUGGUUUUCGGGAUGAUGGUGUCCUGUUAUAGCUGAUUUUAUGUUAAAGUAUCGUGUUUUGUUAGUUUUGGAUUGAUGAUGCCUUAGUAUAGCUGGUUUCAUAGUUAAAGCUUUUUGCUUUGAUCAUGUUUAAUAGUUUCGGGUUGAGGGUGUUUUGUGUGUAUUUGACGUCAUUUGUGGUCAUUAGUUGAUGUUGUUGAGCUGGUAACGUCAUUAACCGAACUUUCUCUUGAGUUCGUUGUCUUCUCAAAUGACAAAGAAUAACGAGGAUAUGUCUGAUAAAACUAGCAAAUCCCAUGAUUCCUCGAUGACCAUUUUGGCUAUUGAAACUCGUUUUGAGUUUGUCGAAAAGGGGAAAAGGUUGAUAAGAGUGCCCAGCCGCAUCCCCUCUUGAUUUAUUUUCUCUGUCUUCUCAUGUGCGGGUGGGAAUUUCUUUGAAAGUAAAUAAAAUAAUGUGUUAUUUCAUGUAACUGAACAAGUUGUGCCUUAUGACAGAAUCUCUGAAGUUUGUUAUCCAUUUUUAUUCAAUUUUAUGCUUCGUAAAUUCCAGUGAAGAGUCAUUCUCUCCUUUCUCUGGUUGGGUACUACUGUUAAGCCAGAAGGAUCAUAGUAGAUUGUUUCUGAAUGGCGUAUCUUCUUGUUUUGUUCUUGACUCAUUUGUUCGCGAUAUUAUUAGUGUAUAAUAUAGAUGGUGGAAUUAAGACAUUACCAUUGCAAGAAACUUCAAAUUGUAUUCUCAGUGAGAUGUCGAAGUUACAGAAGCAGAUGGGAUAUCAUAUCUUCAUUUACUACAUUUUUAGCCUUUAUGGCUCAUCUCCAGAUAUUCAGUCAAAGUUAUGCAAAGUUUAGAAUAAAUUUUAUGUGAAGUUAUGUACUUCAUUAACCAUCUUCCUAUGUGAAUCAAUAAUAAAAACGAAUAUGUAGCUGAUGUCAUUUUUCCUUAAAAGACUGAAAAAAAACUCUAAUAACAAUAUUAAUUUUGGUUGGUUUCUUAUUGCAAUAUUGCUUUUAUUUAUCUCAAAUUCUAACUGUGUGAAUCAUUGAUUGGUGCUUGACUAUCUUUUUAUGGUACUAUGAAUCCUUUAACAUGCUAACUACCAACCUGAAAUAUAUAUUAAUUCAUAUAUUUUUCUUUUCUUCGCAUUAAUCCGCCUUGGAGUCCAAACAGGCUCUUUUCCCUUGCAUUUGUUAAUGGGCCAAUAAAGGCCCAUCUCAUGGAGUCAAGCCCGAAGUUCUAGGUCCAAAAGUGAUCCCAUGGCGUAUAGACACGAUGAGUUGGAAGAAGAAAGGCGGGUUAAAGACCCAUAUUUAAAGCGGCUAAGAGACUCAAAAGUCUCAUUUGUUGUUUUAUUUAUUUAAGUAUUGUUGUCUUUAUUUAGUUUAUUUAUUUAUUUAUUUAUUUAGGAAGGGCUGGAAGAUGCGAAUUACGACAGAGGAUUAGGGCCAGUUCGGGUCGCUAGUGUAGGGAAUUAAUUGGUGGGGGUGUAUUCCUGUUAUGAUUCUGUAUUCAGUGUUUCGUGUUCCGUGUUCCAUGUUUAUUACGAAUCUGUGUGCUUUCCUCUGCUUUAUUAUUCCUGCAUUCCUACUUUACUCUGUUUUAUAUUCCCUAUGGGUGCCGUAUCUAUGUUAUGUCAUCUGCUGCUGUGCUGUACUAUGUGUUUGUGUGAUAUCUCGUGACUUGAGCCGGGGGUCUUUCGGAAACAGCCUUUCUACUUCAUCAGAGGUAGAGGUAUGGACUGCGUACAUCUUACCCCCCCCAGACCCCACUAAGUGGGAAUACACUGGGUUUGUUGUUGUUGUUGUUGUUGAUUUAUUUAUUUAUUCAUUCGGGCUAUGAAGCCCAAGUUGUAUUUAAUACAGGUGGAGCAGAUUUUGGGCCAACGGGCCUGAAAAGAAAAAUAGUUUAGGACAGGUGCAAAUGGGCCAAAAGCCCAAUUAGGGUUGGGCCCAAUGGCCUAAAUUUUUUACUUUCUCCUCCCUUUCCCCUUUUACGUGUUUAUUUGUUUAUUAAUUUUAUUUAGACUUAGUUAAAAUCCCUACUAAGACACAUAAAUCUAUUUUACACAAGUCUUUUCUAAAAAAAACUCAAUCACUUAACAAAUUAAUAUUUUUGGAAGUUAAUCAAAAGAUGUUUUCAAAUAGUCCAGAUAACCGCAAAUUAGCGGACGUUUUAGGUGUCUAACACCUUCUUAAAAUGUUAAUAGCCGCUUACUCAGGAUCUUCAAAACUUAAAUGAUUUUUCUGUUUUGGAUCGUUUAAAGGUUUUUUAGUUUUUUUUCAAAAUUAAAUGGAGACUUUGAAAGUCAAAUUUUCGCAAAAAAGAAAUGGCGAUUCUGCUGGGGAUAUUUAACUAGGCUUUAACCAAAUGUUUGAUUUCGUCUUUUGAUUAAUUGUUUACAUGUUUAUAUGUUUCAAUUUUGCGGUAUUUAAUUAUUGUAUCUCAUAGCAUAAUCCUGCAUUGAUUUAUUAAAUUAUUUUAGGGUUUCGUGAAUGUCUCAGCUCCUGUUGUUCAAUUCCAAAUAAAGUGUUGGAAAUACGUUGGUUUAUUAGCACGUGAGUCAUCUGAUGGCUGUCGUAUUUUCAAACACAAGUCGUCCUCUUAGGAACCUUGUUCAAAUCCACUCUAGACACCUAGGAUAAAGCAAAACCAAAAUUCUAUUUUAGGUAUGAGCCUAGGACGACCCAAUACUUGAGGAGGUAUUGGGCCUAUUAUAAAAUUUGUCCUGUGUCUAUUGACCUCGAGUCAAUUACAGACGAAUCAUAUUUAUGUAUUGAAGAAAUUUAUGUUUAUUUAAUCCAAUCCAUUAUCCUUUGGGGGUUGGGAAAAAUCUUGCUUACUUUCGUGUAAGGAUGCCUUAAUCAUACACUAAUUGAGAGAGGAAUCGAAGCAAGUCAAGCAAGAAAUUAAUCGAUUUGGGCGGUUGCAUCCAAGGCAUAGCCAUACGAAAAUUUCUUGAUCAUCAAUAGAUGUCGCCAAUGAUAAGAAGUGGACAAAGCUAAGAAGGACAAGGCCGACAGAAGAAGCAUUCAGGAGUUAGUAUUUCUCAUCCCCUGUGCGGGACAUCAUUCUUUUUCUCAUGUUAUUUUCCUUUCCCUAAAGAUUGUACCCCUUUUGUGCAACUUUUAUAGGCAUUUAUGUCAUUUAUCUAUAUUUAUGAAAUUGGGGGAUAAUGGAUUGGCUUUAAAAAAAAGCAUAUAUUUUCUUCAAAGUUCGUCAGGCCUAACCCUUGGCUCAAAAGGGUCACCUUAGUUAGGAUACGUGUUAUUAUAAUAUUUUUAUGCGAUAUAACCACCUUAUGUGUUUAUGUGCAUUUAUUUGAAUCAAAGGCAAUUUUAUCCACUAUGCUCAUGUGGAUCACUUUGGCUAUGAAAAACAACUCUAUGUGUUUAUUACUU
rnacentral:lncRNA from 1 species